UGUGGAAACUUUGUACUUUCCACUCUAUUUUGCUGUGAACCUAAAACUGCUCUGAACAAUAAAGUCUAGGGCCGGCCC